rnacentral:lncRNA from 1 species
UUUUCUUUUUUUUUCUUUCGCGAGAGUUACGGUUUUGCUUCCGCGAGAGGCACGGUUUUGCUUUCGCAAGAGUCAUCUCCGUGCCUCUCAAAAACAAAAAAAAAUGCAUUUUCUGCGCUUUUUUCCUUUUGCGAGAGCCACGGUUGUGCUUCCUCAAGAGGCACGGGUGUGCUUCGCGAGAGUCACGGCCGUGCCUCUCGGAAAGGAAAAAAACAUGUUUUCUGUUUUUUUUCCUUUCACGAGAGUCACGGUUAUGUUUCCGCGAGAGGCACGGUUGUGCUUUAGCGAGAGUCACGGUCGUGUCUCUCGGAAACGAAAAAAAACAUGUUUUCUAAUUUUUUUUCUUUGCGAGUCAUGGUUUUGCUUCCACGAGAGGCAUGGUUGUGCUUUCACGAGUCACGCCCUUGCCUCUCGGAAACGAAAUAAAAACAUGUUUUCUGUUUUUUUUUCCUUUCGCGAGAGUCACGAUUUUGUUUCCGCGAGAGGCACGAUUGUGUUUUCGCGAGAGUCAUGGCCGUGCCUCCUCGGAAACGGGAAAAAACGCGUUUUCUCUUUUUAUUUUCUUCCGCGAGAGUCACGGUUUUGUUUCCGCGAGAGGCACGGCUGUGAUUUCGUGAGAGAUACGGGUGUGCCUCUUUCGGAAAGGGAAAAACCCGUGCUCCCAGUUCAAUUUUUUUCGUCCGGCUUUUUUCGUGAAAAAAAGUUCGUCAAAACCUAUCAACAUGGGAUCUAGUUUUGAAGAUGUCAACAUGAGGAAUCCAACGGUGAAAGUGGUUCGAGAUUUGAACGCACGGUUUAAGAGAUAAAAUGUUUUGAAUAAACGGAUCUACGAAAAGAGGGAAAACUAUGACAGGUGGCACGUUGCAUGUGCGCCACUUGUCGCAAUCAGGGGAGUUGAAGUGAUCUUUGCAACAAGUACUCUUCAACUAGUGAUUUCGCCCAGUAUCUAGUUUGUUUCUUUCUUCACUCGGUUUCGUUUUAUUUUUCAUUUUCUUGUUUAUAAUUUCAUUUAUAUUUUCGUAACAUUCUAAAAACAUAUAUUUCAGAAACAUUGCAUGUGACAAUUAAAAAACAUAUAGUUAAAAAACGUUCGUGACGUUUUGUAAAAAUGUUUGUAACAAAUGUAAAAAAUGUCCGCAUAAUUUAAUCAAUUUUUAUUGCCAUAAAUAAAUCACCGUGUAUCUGAAAAAUGUUCAAAAGAUGUAUUUAAGAAAACUGCUCUUUUUCGAAACAAGGGAGAGGGGUGGAGUGCUGCGGUUCUUCACAAGCACAAUGGCUUAUUCCAAGCAAGGCCUGCCAUUUGUUUCCCCAACAUCUCUAAUCCUUAACAUGCUGACCCGUUGGCAUGUCAGCGAGGCCUACAAUUGUCUGCAGAAGUUGGGGAGGAGAGAAUCAUACUGGAGACAGACAACCAACUGGUGGCUAAAGUUCUCGUAUCACUAGAGGUCGACCGUUCGAGAUAUGGUCCUCUCAUCAAAGAAAUUAAGGUUCUACUCGGCGGUGCCGUGGAGUGGAAGAUGGUUUGGGCUAGACAUACAGCUAACAAGGCUGCUCAUUUACUUGCGAGGGAUGACUGACUAAUUAAGUUAUGUAUAAGACUUGGCUUAAUGUUGCCCUGUUGUGUUGUGUAUCAGUGACCCCGCCGAAGAGUUUGCCCCUCAAAAAAGGAGUAAAAAGAAAAAUAUACUUUGUGUAUUUGGGAGAUGUUGGAUGACCCACAAGUAUAGAGAAUCUAUCGUAGUUCUUUUGAUAAGUAAGAUUGUCGAACCUAAUAAGGAGCAGAAGAAAAUGACAAGUGGUUUUCAAUACGAUAUUCUCUGCAAGCACUGAAAUUAUCGGUAACAGAUAGUUUUGUGAUAAAAUAAUUCGUAACGGGUAAUAAGUAAAUAAAGUAACUAAGGUGCGGCAAGGUGGCCUAAUCCUUUUUUUAGCAGAGGAAAAGCCUGGACAAACUCUUAUAUAAAGCAAAGCGCUCCCGAAAACACAUGUGAAUUAUUGUCAACUUAGCUUUCAUCAUGCUCAUUGAUUUGCGUUAGUUACUUUGAUAUUUCGAUAUGUGGGUGGACCGGUGCUUGGGUCCUUCCCUUCCUUGGACAAGCCUCCCACUUAUGAUUAACUCCUCUCGCAAGCAUCCGCAAUUAUGAAAGAAGAAUUAAGGUAAACCUAACCAUAAAAUGAAACAUAUGGGUCCAAAUCAGCCCCUUACGAAGCAACACAUAAACUAGGGUUUAAGCUUAUGUCACUCUAACAACCCAUCAUCUACUUAUUACUUUCCAAUGUGUGACGCCCCCGAUUCAAUCGUACACUAAUCAUGCACGCAAACGUGUACGAUCAAGAUCAGGGACUCACGGGAAGAUAUCACAACACAACUCUAAAACAUAAAUAAGUCAUACAAGCAUCAUAAUACAAGCCAGGGGCCUCGAGGGCUCGAAUACAAGUGCUCGAUCAUAGACGAGUCAGCGGAAGCAACAAUAUCUGAGUACAGACAUAAGUUAAACAAGUUUGCCUUAAGAAGGCUAGCACAAACUGGGAUACAGAUCGAAAGAGGCGCAGGCCUCCUGCCUGGGAUCCUCCUAACUACUCCUGGUCGUCGUCAGCGGCCUGCACGUAGUAGGCACCUCCAGUAUACUAGUCGUCGUCGACGGUGGCGUCUGGCUCCUGGACUCCAGCAUCUGGUUGCGACAACCAGAAAGAAGGGAAAGGGGAAAAAGGGGGGAGAAAGCAACCGUGAGUACUCAUCCAAAGUACUCGCAAGCAAGGAACUACACUACAUAUGCAUGGGUAUAUGUGUAAGGAGGCCAUAUCAGUGGACUGAACUGCAGAAUGCCAGAAUAAGAGGGGGAUAGCUAAUCCUGUCGAAGACUACGCUUCUGGCAGCCUCCGUCUUGCAGCAUGUAGAAGAGAGUAGAUUGAAGUCCUCCAAGUAGCAUCUCCAAGUAGCAUAUCCAGGUAGCAUCUCCAAGCGCAUCUCCAGUCGCAUCGCAUAGCAUAAUCCUACCCGGCGAUCCUCUCCUCGUCGCCCUGUAGAAAAGCGAUCACCGGGUUGUCUGUGGAACUUGGAAGGGUGUGUUUUAUUAAGUAUCCGGUUCUAGUUGUCAUAAGGUCAAGGUACAACUCCAAGUCGUCCUGUUACCGAAGAUCACGGCUAUUCGAAUAGAUUAACUUCCCUGCAGGGGUGCACCACAUAGCCCAACACGCUCGAUCCCAUUUGGCCGGACACACUUUCCUGGGUCAUGCCCGGCCUCGGAAGAUCAACACGUCGCAGCCCCACCUAGGCAAAACAGAGAGGCCAGCACGCCGGUCUAAACCUAAGCGCACAGGGGUCUGGGCCCAUCGCCCAUAGCACACCUGCACGUUGCGAGGGCGGCCGGAAGCAGAACUAGCCCCCUUAAUACAAGAGCAGGCUUACGUUCCAAUCCGGCGCGCGCCGCUCCGUCGCUGACGUCUGAAGUGCUUCGGCUGAUACCACGACGCCGGGAUACCCAUAACUACUCCCGCGUAGAUGGUUAGUGUGUAUAGGCCAGUAGCCAGACUCAGAUCAAAUACCAAGAUCUCGUUAAGCGUGUUAAGUAUCCGCGAAUGCCGAACAAGGCCAGGCCCACCUGUCUCCUAGGUGGUCUCAACCUGCCCUGUCGCUCCGCCACAAAGUAACAGUCGGGGACCGUCGGGAACCCAGGCCCACCUCUACCGGGAUGGAGCCACCUGCCCCUUCAGCCCCCAUCUCCGAAUAGUAUCACAGGUAAUGUAACUGUGUAAAGUAUAUAGUAUAUGCCCGUGAUCACCUCCCGAAGUGAUCACGGCCCAGUAGUAUAGCAUGGCAGACGGACAAGAGUGUAGGGUCACUGCUGGAACACUAGCAUCCUAUACUAAGCAUUUAGGAUUGCGGGUAAGGUAUCAAUGACUGUAGCAGCAAUGACAGGCUAUGCAACAGAAUAGGAUUAACGGAAAGCAGUAACAUGCUACACUACUCUAAUGCAAGCAGUAUAGAAGAGAAUAGGCGAUAUCUGGUGAUCAAGGGGGGGGGGGGCUUGCCUGGUUGCUCUGGCAAGAGAGAGGGGUCGUCAACUCCGUAGUCGAUCACAGGGGUACCGGCAGCGGUCUCGGGGUCUACCGGAAAAAGUAUCGAAGGGGGGAACACAAUAAAUAACAGAGCAAUCAAAUGUAAUACAAAGCAAGACGCGGCAAUACGUUGUGCUAGGUGUGCCCUAACGCGGUAGGUGGUGAUACCGACGAAGGGGGGAAACAUCCGGGAAAGUAUCCCCGGUGUUUCGUGUUUUCGAGCACAGGAGCCGGAGGGGGAAAGUUGCGAGUUUGAUAGGUUAGGGAUGCGUGGCGGACGAACGGGCUGCGUUUCUGGGUUCGUCUCGUCGUUCUGAGCAACUUUCAUGUAGAAAGUAUUUUCAUCUGAGCUACGGUUUAUUUUCUAUUAAUUUUAAAAGAUUUAAAUCAUUUUCAGGAUUUAUUUAAUUAUUUUAAUGCAACAUUAUCCAGAAUAGUGCUUGCUGAUGUCAGCAUGAUGUCAUCAGUCAACAGAGGUGUUGACUGGGUCAAGCUGACGCGUGGGUCCCGCAUGUCAUUGACUAUUUUAGUUAAUUAAGUUAAUCAGUUAAUUAGGUUAAUUAAUCUUAAUUAGUUACUUUAAAAAGAAUUAAUUAAGUUAAUUAUUUAGUUAAUUAAUUAAUUAAUAUUUAAUUUUAUCUAUCUAUUUACUUAUUUAUUUAUUUAUUUUAAUUCUCUUUUUUUAAUAACGUUUCAGGGGGGUGGGGCCCGUUUGGCACUGGCACAGAGGCCUUAGCGGGGCGGGCGCUGGGUGCGGGUGCGUGGGCGCUUGCCCGGGAUUACAGGGGGCGCCAGCCAGGGGUGAGGCCACGACGACGGCCGGAGGGGCCGCAGCCACGGCGAGGUCGGCCGGGCUGCGAGCGGCGCCAGCGAGGCGACGGAGCGGUGGACGGGGCCGGCAGCGGGCCGGAGCGGCAGGGAAGAGCGGGAUGAGCGCCGUGCGGGGCCGCGGUCGUGGUCGGGGCGGCCAUGGCGACCGCGACGACGAGCGGGGGAAAGGGGAGGAUGAACGGGUCCUCACCAGCGGUGGUGAGCAGGGAGGCGUCGAGGCGCGUGGAGGCCGUUCGGGGAGGAGGACGGGGACGACGGCGUCGGAGACGAGGCAGGCCGUCGAGGGAGGAAGGCGGGGCCGGUCCAGCGGGGUGGCAUGGUCGAGGCGGCGUUCCGGCCGACGGCGGGGGAACGAGGUCGGUGUCGUCCGGCGAGGCAGCACCCGCGACGGCGUCGGCACCGCGGCGUUGAGGCGAGGAGGCGGACGGGGACGGCGCUCCGUCGAGGAGAGAGAUGAGGAGGCGAGGAGGCAGGCCGGCGUGGUGGCUCCGACGAGGUCGAAGCGGCGGCGGUGAUGGUGCUCCAGGGACGAUAGGCGACGCGGUCGGCGGGUCGAUGGAGUCGGGGCGGGUCGUUCCCCCGAUCCCGAUCUGGAUCGGGGAAGGGGAGAGAGAUGUGGGGAUCGUNNNNNNNNNNNNNNNNNNNNNNNNNNNNNNNNNNNGAUUUGCAUUCCUUUUCUUAUUUUCUUUUCUGUUUUAUUUAUUUUAGUUAGCAAAACAGCUUUACAAAAAUAUAACCCCUACUCCUAAAUUAGCAUAAUAACAUAGGCCACCUACUCCAAAAAGUUUGGUGAUUAUAUAAACUAGAUUAACAUCUGUUUAGUAUUUAAAAGCAUUUAACUAAUUGUCUUGCUGCUGUUUUACUUACUAUAGUGCAUUUAAAUACUUUACACAAGUGUGGUUUCUUCACCAAUAUUUAAUAUGGAUUAUCUGGCUUACUCCGAACAUUUUUGUUUUAAUAUUUGAAAACUUUUAUUGUUGCCUGAUUUUGAAUUUGAAUUUGAAUCGGUUUCGAACUAACUCGAGAUUAGCCACCGUGAUCAAAGUGACAUGGCAUCAUUAGCAGAGAAUUACUGUAGCUUAAUUAUCCGGGCGUCACACAAUGCCUUCCCCUAGGCCCAAAUAAUGGUGAAGUGUCAUGUAGUCGACGUACACAUAACAUCACUAGAGGAGAGAUAGCAUACAUCUCAUUAAAACAUCAAACGUAUACCAAAUUCACAUGAUUACUUAUAACAAGACUUCUCCCAUGUCCUCAGGAAAAAUCGUAACUACUCACAAAAGAUAAUCAUAAUCAUAAUCAGAGAAGUAUUAAUUAUCAUUAAGGAUCUGAGAAUAUAAUCUUCCACCUGAUAAACCAACUAGCAUCAACUACAAAGAAUAAUCAACACUACUAGCAACCCACAGGUACCAAUCUGAGGUUUUGGGACCAAGAUCGAAUACAAGAGAUGAACUAGGGUUUGAGAGGAAAUGGUGCUGGUGAAGAUAUUGAUGGAGAUUGACCCCUUCUCGAUGAGAGGAUCUACGGUGAUGACGAUGGCGACGAUUUCCCCCUCCUAGAGGGAUGUUUCCCUGGCAGGACAGCUCCGCCUGAGCCCUAGAUUGGUUCUGCCCGGGUUCCGCCUCGAGACGGCGGCGCUUCAUCCCGAAAGCCUCCUUCUAUUUUUUCCAGGUCAAAACAUGGCAUAUAGCCAAAGAUGGGCACCGAAGGCCUGCCAUGGGGCCCACAAAGUCGGGGGGCGCGCCCUCCACCCUUGUGGCUGGCUGGUGGCCCCCCUCUAGUACUUUCUUCGUCCAAUAUUUUUAUAUAUUUCAAAAAUAAGUUCCGUGAAGUUUCAGGACUUUUGCAGUAAUGCAGAAUAGGUCUUUAAUAUUUGCUCAUUUUCGAGUCCAGAAUUCCAGCUGCCGGUAUUCUCCCUCUUCAUAUAAACCUUAUAAAAUAAAAAAGAAAAGACAUAAAUAUUAUGAUAUAAUGUGUAAUAACAGUACAUAAUGCAAUAAAUAUCAAUAUUAAAGCAUGAUGCAAAAUGAACGUAUCAAUGUUUAACGUGUAUCACAAAAAUGUUUCACGUAUACACUAUAAAUGUACAUUAUCUAUUGAAAAAAUAGUAAUGAAGGCGAAAAAACCUAGAAAAUCAAAUAAAAUGAUGAAAAACGACAAAAAAUAAAAAGGAAAAAAGGGCUAAACCGAUGAUGAAACAAAGAAAUGAAAGAAGGAAAUCAAAGAAAAACAACAAAUGACGCAUCGGGAGAACACUGCAGGUGAGACGUAAAAUGGGUCGGCCCAGAAAUGACACAUUGCCACCUCUUUUAGCGCUGUGUUGGUUUUCCCCGAAGAGGAAGGGAUGAUGCAGCAAAGUAGCAUAAGUAUUUUUCUCAGCUUUUGAGAACCAAUGUAUCAAUCCAGUAGGAGGCUACGCGUGAGUCCCUCGUACCUGCAUAAAACAAAUAAAUCAUCGCAACCAGCGCAAAUAGGGGUUGUCAAUCCAUAUAGGGCCACUUACGAGAGUGAGAUCUGAUAGAUAUGAUAAGAUAAUAUUUUUGGUAUUUUUAUGAUAAAGAUGCAAAGUAAAAUAAAGGCAAAGUAAAUAACUAAGUAGUAGGAGAUUAAUAUGAUAAAGAUAGACCCGGGGCCAUAUGUUUCACUAGUGGCUUCUCUCGAGAGCAUAAGUAUUCUACGAUGGGUGAACAAAUUACUAUUGAGCAAUUGACAGAAUUGAGCAUAGUUAUGAUAAUAUCUAGGUAUGAUCAUGUAUAUAGGCAUCACAUCCGAGACAAGUAGACCGACUCCUGCCUGCAUCUACUACUAUUACUCCACUCAUCGACCGCUAUCCAGCAUGCAUCUAGAAUAUUAAGUUAAAAACAGAGUAACAUCUUAAGCAAGAUGACAUGAUGUAGAGGGAUAGACUCAUGCAAUAUGAAGAAAACCCCAUCUUGUUAUCCUCGAUGGCAACAAUACAAUACAUGCCUUGCUGCCCUUACUAUCACCGGGAAAGGACACCGCAAGAUUGAAACCAAAGCUAAGCACUUCUCCCAUUGCAAGAAAGAUCAAUCUAGUAGGCCAAAUCAAACUGAUAAUUCGAAGAGGCUUGCAAAGAUAACCAAUCAUACAUAAAAGAAUUCAGAGAAGAUUCAAAUAUUAUUCAUAGAUAGACUUGAUCAUAAACCCACAAUUCAUCGGUCUCAAUAAACACACCGCAAAAAGAAGAUUACAGCGAAUAGAUCUCCACAAAAGAGGGGGAGAACAUUGUAUUGAGAUCCAAAAAGAAAGAAAAAGCCAUCUAGCUACUAACUAUGGACCCAUAGGUCUGAAGUAAACUACUCAUACUUCAUCGGAGAGGCUAUGAUGUUGAUGUAGAAGCCCUCCGUGAUCGAUGCCCCCUCCGGUGGAGCUCCGGAACAGGCCCCAAGAUGGGAUCUCGUGGAUACAGAAAGUUACGGCGGUGGAAUUAGGGUUUUGGCUCAUGUUCUGAUCAUUUGGGGGUACGUGGAUAUAUAUAGGAGGAAGAAGUACGUCGGUGGAGCAACAGGGGCCCCACGAGGGCGGAGGGCGCGCCUGGGGGUAGGCGCGCCCCCUACCUCGUGGGUUCCUGUUAUGUGGCUUGACGUAGGGUCCAAGUCUCCUGAGUUGUAUUCGGUGAGAAAAUCACGUUCCCGAAGGUUUCAUUCCGUUUGGACUCUGUUUAAUAUUCCUUUUCUUCGAAACCCUAAAACAGGCAAAAACAGCAAUUCUGGGUUGGGCCUCCGGUUAAUAGGUUAGUCCUAAAAAUAAUAUAAAAGUAAAUAAUAAAGUCCAAUAAUGUCUAAAACAGUAGAUAAUAUAGCAUGGAACAAUAAAAAAUUAUAGAUACGUUGGAGACGUAUCACACAUCGGGAAACACUUCAGGCGAGACGAGACGUAAUACGCGUCUCAAAACGCACAACCCUGGUUCCCUCCAACGUGCUCUUUGAGCUCACGCCUGUUUUUUCCCUUUCUUUUUGUAAUUUUUUUGUCUUUUUUGUUUUUUGUUUUUCAAAAAAGGUUGUGAUUUUAGAAAGCAUUUGAAUUUACAAAAUCUUCCUGGAUUUCAAUAACUAUUUCUAUAUUUCGAAAAAAUAUUCUAAAAUCCAAAAAAUCAUGAAUUUACAAAAAAUGGUUUGAAUUUGAAAAAAUAUUCACAAAUUUGGAAUAUGUUUCUAGAGAUCAAAAAAUAUUUAUGAAUUGGAAAAUAGUUCUCAUAUUUCAAGAAAAUUCAUGAAUUUUAAAAUAUGUUUAUGUAUUUUCAAAAAUCAUGAAUUUGAAAUUGUUUCUGUACUUCAGAAAAUGUGCAAUAAUAUGAUAAAAUGUUUCAAGAUUUCAAAAAUUAUUCUUGUAUGCAAAAAAAUCUUCUUAGAUUUCAAAAUAUAUAUAUAUAUAAUCAUUAAUUUGAAAUUUUUCCAAAUAUAGAAAAUAUUCAUUAAUUAAUAAAAUGUUCCAAAUAUGAAAAAUAUGAGAAGGUUAAAAUUUAAAUAAAAUCUCAUGUUUUAGAAACAUGUUCACGAAAAUAUAAUAAUGAUAAAUGCAAAAGGUAAAAAUGGUAAAAGGUAAUAAAAAUAAAAGGGAAAAACACAGAACAAAAAAUCUGUUACGGGAUGGUCCUAGAACCUUAACCGAAACCGGUCGGGGGAGGAACUUGGAAUGGGCUGCCGCAUAUAGCAGGUCCUCUCCUUGGGGGGUUUGCGUUUGGUCGAAAUUCCCUGCCCUACGCGGGGAAUAGGACCCGCCACUUGCUUGCAAAUAAGAUUGAGGAAAUUUGGCCUCAAUUUCCUUUACCAGUAAUAUCCCGCAACAAAUUGAAAUUUUCCGUCGUAUGACGAAGUGCUUGUUCAUAGCAAAAAGGAAACUAUGUGUUGGGUUGAAGACUUGGACUGGGUUUGAUAGAGUGAGCGCUAAAUGGAGUGUGUGAAAAUAAAACGGCAAAAUGGGAUAGGCUCCGCGUGUGGUUUGCUGAGAAUUGUCAAGCCGGUAAAUGGGCUUGGCAACCCAUUCUCCUGGACAUGAUGUCAAUUGUCAUGUAGCCAAUUCCAGAUGGAGGUCUAUUACAAGCCGAGCCAGAAAAGGGGCAUCAUUUACUUUGCACGGUGUCAUAGCCGGGUUGCAAACUUUCCAAAGAGGGUAUAUCUGGAGAAUUGGUGAUGGUAACAACGUUAAGAUAUGGGCUGAUCCCUGGGUACCUGUUAAUCUGAAUAGAAUGAUAGUAUCUCCAAGGGGCUAGACAAUUAUUACCCAAGUCAAUGAAUGCAUAGAUCCAUUUACCAAUCAGUGGGACGAGGAGCUUAUCAGAUCCACCUUUUGGCCAAUUGGUGUUAGAAGGAUCCUUCAAAUUAUAUUGAAUUACUUGGCAUUUCAUGAUUUCAUCUCAUGGCACUGUUCUAGGACUAGGAUUUUUUUCUCAAAAAAACUGCUUAUCACCUUGAAGGGCAACAUAAAUAUGGUACUAGUUUACUCGGGGAACUCCUUUACUCGGACUAGGACCAUUUGUGACAAAUCUAGUUUCGAGAGCUCUUUGGCAGUUGUAAAUUCCACCCACAGUGCAUAUCUUCUGUUGCGAAGUCUCCAGGGUAUUGUUCCCUUAAAAUCUAUUUUAGCGAAUCCCCAUUAGAUUGAUAGGACAAUGUCUAAUCUGUAAGCAUGGAGGAGAGGAUGUGAAACACCUUUUGUUAGCAUGCAAUAUGGUUGUGCAACUAAGGACUAGACUGGGAAUCUAUGAUCGAAUUGUUGCUGUGGUUAGGGCAGAUCGCUCAGGGUCCGAGACCUCGGAACAUCUAAUCUGUGGUGCGGGAGGAGUUAUGCCAGGCACUCAGAUAACCGGGAUCACAGAAACAAUUGCAGUCGGUUGUUGGUACUUAUGGUGGCUAAGACCCCAAGUAACGCAUGAAGGAAAAGUCUUUCCGUAUGGCGAGGUGCAGUUUCUAUUCUAGCAGUUACAGGAAAUGCUGCAAAUAUAAAAGAUUCUUAAGCAAAUGUUGUUGAUGGUCGCUGGGCAAAACCAGAGCCUAGGUCAGUAAAGCUAAAUGUUGAUGCGUCCUAGUUUGCAGAUGAAGCGGCUGGGGCAAGGGCGGAUGUUCUCAGAGACUGUAACGACAAUUUUUUGAUGAGAAGAAAAUAUAGUCAAUGCCCUACUGAGAGCGGCAAAAUGGCUCCUGAGCUCAACUGCUCCCGCUCGUGCACAGUAAAAUCAAAAUAAAUACUAGAAAAUUUUAAAAAUCUGAUUUUUUUUCUAUGAAAGAUAUUUGAGUGUGCGAGGUCCGUGCCAAUUUUUAGCGUGUUUGGACAUCUGGGUAGUUCUCAGAAAACAACAAUUUGAGAUAUGUGAAAAAGUUUACUAUUUAUGCAUUGUUCGGACCGAUUUUGUUUUUGUUUGUUGAGAGCUACUCAGGUGUCCGAAGGCGGUGAGAAUUGGCACGACCUCACGCACUCAAACAUCUCCCAUGCAAAAAAUGAUUUUUUUUUAUUUUUCCAGUAUUUUUUUGAAUUUACUGUUCGAUGAGUGUGGAUGAGGCCUGGCUCAGAAUUGGAUAUUCGGUGCCCUACUUCACAUCAUUUGCUACGGCAUGAAAAAAAUGGAUGCCUUAAUUUUAUAUCGUCUGUUAUAUAUGGAAGGAAAGAAAUCUGGUGCCCUAAAACUGUUUCCGAAUGCCCUAUUUUAGGUAAUCUGUUGGAGAUGCUCUUACAUCCCUCGGUUUGAUCCUGAUUAAGGUUGGGGCCGGGUUGGACGGUGGGUUUUCCUUUACCUUUACUGCGUCGAACUUGCCUUCGUUAGUUUCAAAUUAUAAAAUUUUGCUUUAGAGCUUUUUUAGGGUACCCUGUAGUGAAUAAAGACCGUCCAUCCGCAAAAUCAAACGGCCAUGACCGACCUGUACUGCUGCAAUCAGGCCAACAACAUGGCAAGCAGUAUUAGUAGCACCGGUCGUUUUCGACCAACCAGUAUACAUGUUCUCAGGGCAUUCUGGGACUUCUACGAUUCACCUCGCACCGACCCACCCCGCCCGUUGUUUUCAUCUAUGGACUCUGGUAGAGUUCCGGUGGCCACCACUGUGCCUCCUCUUUCUUCUCCAGCCCGCCUUCCCUCGCUCAAGAAGCCCGAGUCUCGUUCCUUCCCCGUGCAUGGAUCCGGCGCUCGACUGCGUGGCGUAGGCCUCGGCCCAGACCGUGCUCUUCUUCUCCAAUAGGUCCGAUAGGACGACCAUGAGGCGUUGGCUUGCGCUCCUCCCAUGGCUGGCUGAGCGCUCGUUUUAUCUUGGUUCACAACGGCAGCGAGGAAACCACUUGGCGCCGUUGUCCGUCAAUGCGGAGGCUUGCCAUGUGCAGAAGUUCGUCGUCCCGUCCAUGACGACCAGGCAGGAUGAAGGAGGGCGUUGAGGUAGCCGUGGUCGCCAAGUGUUGGUUCCAUGUAUGUAUGUAUGUGAGGAGAGCAUGGCGGCGAUGGGAGCAAGCAGGCGAUGCCGAUUACAAGCUAUUACUACGAAAUAGGCUGGCAUCUUGGCCCAUCAACAAUCCCGUUUCAACGGUGAGAUUUAAUUAUACUGGUCCGCUCACGCCAAGCAGUAUAGGGUACCAUAAAAGAGCUCUUGCUUUAAUGGAAAAUGGGGCCUCAAACUGCUCACCGGAACAUUUCGAUCGGGUUAGACGCACAUCAGCACAUGCAUGGUACUAGCGGUACCGUUCCUCAACAAGACACGCGUUGGUACGUGCCGCCGUGUGUUCCUCGCCCAGAACCAGAUCCAAGGGAGCACAUGCACCAACGGUAUUGACUGUUGAGCAUUGCACCUUUGCAAGUACAGCGUCGAGUUGCCCCGGCCCCCCCGCACCGGCCGUGCCGUGCCGUGCGUGCCACGGUGACGCCUCCGCGGAGGCGGAGCCAUGCAUGGGAGGCCAAGGUGACCUCUCCAGCCAGCCAGCCAGCUUUGAAUGUUGGGCUGAUCAAACGUAUCGGAAGUGGCACAACAGUGUCUAUAUGGGAGGAUAAAUGGAUCCCAAAUACAUUGACAAAGGCACCUGUUGCACGUCUUGGCGAUGUACAAAUCAGCUGGGUAGCAAACAUUAUUGAUGAUGAGAAUUGGACUUGGAAGUCUGAAGUUAUAAGACAAUCCUUUAUCCCUCCAGAUGCGGAUGCAAUCCUUAAUAUCCCUUUGAGGACUGGAGGGGGAGAUGAUUUCUAUGCCUGGGCGUCUGAGAGGUCCGGGAUUUAUACUGUAAAAUCAGCGUAUCGCUCUCUAAUGAUUCAGAACGAGCAUAAAGCUCUAGAAGAAGGGACGACUACAGAUACUUCGGAGAUGGAUAAACAGUUGUGGUCUCGGUUAUGGAAACUCAAAGUGCUGCCCAAAGUUCGCGUCUUCUGGUGGCGCGUGAUGCGAGGGAUUCUUCCCGUCGAAAGUACACUGAAAUAUCGGCAUAUAUCCAGCGAGAGCAGGUGCAAAAUCUAUUUGAGUUCAGAGGAGGAUAUGAUGCAUGCAUUACUGAACUGUAUCCAUGCGAGAAGGUUUUGAAACGAAGCCCCGCAGUGGCUGCAUGUUAAGCGACCAGACCUGCACCCUCUUACUUGGGUUAAGGAUGUCUUGUGUGAGUCUCUGUUUUCAGAUUCUGAUAGAGCAAAACUUGUGUCUAUCAUGUGGGCUAUUUGGACUUCACGCAACAACAUCACACAUGACAAAGGAGAGUUUGAUCCUGUUCGGUCCAUGAAGCACAUACAGGAAGCUUUAGCGAUUUUAGAGUUACCUCAAGAUCAUGCUCGGAUCUUGCCUGGUCAUGGUUGGAGGCCGUCGGAUGAUGCGUGGAUAAAAAUCAACGUCGACGGUAGCAUUGCCAUGGAGUCCCGCCGAGGAGGGGUUGGAGGGGUAGCACGUUCUCCGUCUGCUUUCAAGGCUGCAUGGUGUAAGCCAUACUAUGGAAUCACAGACCCUCUUCUGGCUGAAGCGUUGGCUCUUCGAGAUGGCGUAAUUUUCGCAAAGCUUCGAGGUUAUGAUCAAGUCAUCUUGGAGACGGAUAGCCAAGAGGUUGUUAACCUCUGGCACUCGCGCCAUGAUUUUUCAAUGGUGGCGCCGAUUCUUGACGAGAUUGGGGAGCAUGCCAGCUCUUUUAAAUUUUUUCUUAUUCAACAUGUGGUGAGAUCAGCAAAUUUUCCUGCUCACCUUUGUGCGAAGCAACCUAACAUGAUGGAUGUAACAGAUUGUUGGUUAGACUCUAUGCCUAGUUUAUUUGUAACUAGCCUCCUGGCAGAUGUUGCCGGGGUGGUUUCUGUUGAAUAAAACUUUCUAAUUUGCCCUGCAAAAAAAAAAAAAAAGCCAGCCAGCCAGCCACCAUAGCGGCGCAUUGAAUUUGGCGUGCGUGGAGCGGGGCCAGAGAUCAAUCCAAUCUACGGGCUGAGGAGCUGGCUGUGGUGCAGUGUGUGGGCGCUGCAUGCGUACGGCGGCGUGCACGAUGGACGGGCAUGGAUCCCCACCCAGCGACGCCGUUCGUAUGCGCGUGCAUGUGGAAUGUCCUGCGUGCCGGAUCGGUUAUUGGGCGUUGAUGAUUGCCCUAUCUGCUCCGGUUUUAUGGCCAGCUGAGCUUCUCCUUUUCCAAGCUUCCGGUGUGCGCGUUCACAGUCUGUCUGCUAACCUAACCGGUACCCGGCCGGCCGGUGCGGUGGCGAUGCUUCCCGACGAUGAUGGGUGAUCCUAACUUGCUAGGCAGGGCUGGAAAUGUCGGCGAGUUAUUAAUUAGCGGCUCAUGUACUGAACUAGUACAACGUACGUGCUCCAGUAACUCGUCAGUUCAGCCGGUCGAUCGGGUACUCUUAUUAUGGGGGAAAAGACUGCAUGCACUAUACGUCGGCAUUGCUCAAAAGUCAAAACCAACUCACCAUGAACGGAAGAUGCACUCACACAAUGUAGGAGCUUCGGUUCACCCAAUCAGAAAGUAACUGAUGUGCAGCUAGCUAUAGCUAGCUACCUCGUCCUUGAGCUAAACACGUACCAUACGUACGUACGUACGUCGAGCUAAGCUAGCUACCUCGUGUUCCCGGCUUUCGAUCAGCUACGCAUAGCAAUACAUACAUGUACUAAUCCACAUCACAUGGCGCUAGCUGGACAGUGCGUGUGCAAACGACCAGUGUGUAUCCACGCCGAUUCUCAACAUCUUUUGUGGUACUGUACGUAUGAUUGUAUUUGGAUACGUCUCCAGAGUCCGUCCAGACCCCAGACUGUGUUGUAUAAAUCCCUCGUGCCCGUGCCUGCCGGUCCUUGUUUACACUCGGAGCGUCGUCGCCGACGCGGUGAAGCUGCAUUGCUUAACCACAUUGCCCGCCGCCUCCAAGUUAAAUGCCGGACCCAACAGCGCGCGAGUGGCAAAAAGGCCCAAUCGGUGAUUAAUCUCCACCGCUGCCCAACUCACCAGCCCUAUAAAUAACACACAAGCAUGACAGUACGCACAUCCCCUCUGUGUGUGCGUGUGUUGUCGCGAUCACAAUCAAUCUCACUCACUCACUCACUCACUCCAUCCAGCAGCGGCUCGCUCACUGUGUCACCGAGAAGAUACUCGGUAGCGCAAUGGCGGGGCGAGCGUGCUGGCGGUCGCUGGCCGUGGUGCUGGCGGUGGUGGGCGCGGCGGCGGCGACGGCCGGGGCGGCGCCGCAGGUGCCCUGCUACUUCGUCUUCGGGGACUCGCUGGUGGACAACGGCAACAACAACGGCAUCGUCUCCCUGGCGCGCGCCAACUACCCGCCCUACGGCGUCGACUUCGCCGGCGGCCCCACCGGACGCUUCUCCAACGGGCUCACCACCGUCGACGUCAUCUGUAAGCAUAAAACUUUCUUCUGCCGUAUUCGUACUUUGCAUGCUUUUACCAAAAUGCACGUACGGCAGCUUGCUUCCACUAUACGUGGCACGUACACAUUGUGAAACUACAUUUCAAUCUUGCUCUGUUUUUGCGCUGGGUGCAGCCAAGCUUCUGGGCUUCGACGACUUCAUCCCCCCCUUCGCCGGCGCGACCAGCGACCAGCUCCUCACCGGCGUCAACUUCGCCUCCGCCGCCGCCGGCAUCCGGGAAGAGACCGGGCAGCAGCUGGUACGUCACGUAGUCUACUACCACCUUCAUGCUACUACGCGCUCUGUUACUACGUAGCAAUCUCGAAUGUCAUGCCGAUUCCUCAAGAGAUGCUUCUGGCUGCAGGGUGGGCGCAUCAGCUUCAGCGGGCAGGUGCAGAACUACCAGAGCGCGGUGGAGCAGCUGGUGAGCAUCCUGGGGGACGAGGACGCGGCGGCGAACCGCCUGAGCCAGUGCAUCUUCACCGUCGGCAUGGGCAGCAACGACUACCUCAACAACUACUUCAUGCCGGCCUUCUACAACACCGGCAGCCGCUACACGCCGGCGCAGUACGCCGACGACCUGGCGGCGCGCUACACGCAGCUCCUGCGCGCGCUCUACAGCUACGGGGCGCGCAAGGUGGCGCUCAUCGGCGUGGGGCAGGUCGGGUGCAGCCCCAACGAGCUGGCCACGCAGAGCGCCAACGGCGUGGCCUGCGUCGACCGGAUCAACGUUGCCGUCCGGAUGUUCAACCAGCGGCUCGUCGGCAUGGUCGACCAGUUCAACCGCCUCCUCCCCGGCGCGCACUUCACCUACAUCAACAUCGACGGCAUCUUCUCCGACAUCCUCCGGGCGCCGGGCGGCCAUGGCCUGAAGGUGACCAACCGGGGCUGCUGCGGCGUGGGGCGGAACAACGGGCAGGUCACCUGCCUGCCGUUCCAGACGCCGUGCCCCAACCGCAACGAGUACCUCUUCUGGGACGCCUUCCACCCCACCGAGGCCGCCAACGUGCUCGUCGGCCAGCGGGCCUACGCCGCCCGGCUCGCCUCCGACGUGCACCCCGUCGACCUCCGCACCCUUGCAAGCCUCUAGCCCGCCCGCUCGUCGGAGGGAGGGGCGACGGCCGCCGCCGUUGGUGUCGGUGAAAAAUAUGCAUAAUUCUGAUUCUACGGUGUACCAGCACAUACAAGAUGAUACGUUUGCGUCUGAAUUUUGCACCAACUGUACCCUCUUACUCAGUUCACAGUGCUUCAGAUGGGCAACCAACCAUGUACUACAAUUGUGCAGCAUUUAAUAUAAUACUGUAUAAACAACUGUCUUUGGCUGAGAAGAAUAGCUUGCAGUUCACAGAAUUCAUUAAUUUGCUGGAAGAAUUUAGUCUGCAAAAACAUAUGAAUAGGAAUGCAACAAGCUUGGGGCUUCGUAUUACCACCACUGCCAAAGUCACAUGAGGAAAAUAACAGAUUUUCCCUUCCAAUGCUAGAAAAUUCUACCUAUGGCAGCACUGAAACUACCAUCUGACCAAGAUGAAAAGGCAGGGCUCUCGACGAUUGAUCGCUCGAAAACAAACAAACAACAAUGGUUUCAACAUGAAAAGUUGGAAAAUAAUAGAACUUCUCUUCCAAUGCUGGAAAACUCCAUCUAUCCCAGCUGAAACUACCAUCUAACCAAGAUGAAAGGGCAGAGAUGCUGCCGAUUGCUUGAGGACAAAUACAAUCUAACCUAAAUGGAGGAGCCAGGAGCAUAUUACAACAACAACAACAGUAGGGAAGGGCUAGCGAUAUUACGGGAGAAACUGAUGCAAGAUGCCAGCUCCGUCCCAUAAGAUCAUUUAUCUGGUUUCAGGUUGGGCUUGGUACGAAGUAUCUUCAUGAUUAGCUAGUCUGAUGACGACGAAAAGACUCAUUAACCCUGGGAACGGUUAAACUCUGCAGCUUCAGCACAGGUCGGUCUUCUUCGACGCACCUACUGCGCGAGCAUCAUUCUCCACUUCAAGCUGUAUGACCGAACGCACAGGCCAGGAAUCCACCUGGUCCAAGCUAGCACUAGCACAUGGCUGGAGUAUGUGCUUUGCUCCAGAUUGCAACUUAACAGGUCUAGUACCCACAGUACUGGAAGAAUCUGUCAACGCCGAACGUGUAUUUGCACCACUGGUUACAGCUCGAAGAAUUGUUUCAGGUCCGCUGAGACGAACUGGCAUAUCUCGGGGUUGCCCACUGUUGAGACGAACUGGCAUAUCUCGGGGUUGCCCACCGUUGAGACGAACUGGCAUAUCUCGGGGUUGCCCACCGUUGAGACGAACUGGCAUAUCUCGGGGCUGCCCACCUGGUCUGGAUCCAUAGAUUUCUACCAGGAGUGGAGGCGGAUUUAGGUCCUUUCGUACUGCUAUGCAAGGUUUUUUUGGUGAUGUCAAUAACACAUCAUCCUUUUCUGCCGGUCCUUUGAAACUCUUGUUGAUUUGCUUCGAACUCUCAAGACUCGAUCUUGAUACUACUACGGUGGCCUGUUUCAUGCUCCCCUUGUCUUCAAAGAUCACACCACCUGGAGCAUUACUUUUACCUGGUUCACGAGGCAGGGGAACUAGUGGCCGGGGUGCAGUAGAUCCAUGAGGCCGUGCAGCUUCACUGCUAAAAACAUGAGCAGAGACCAUUGAAGGGGGCAAUGGUCGGAGUGAGGUAAACUUUGUUUGAGUUGUUGAUGGUGCAGCAGUGCUCUGAACAGAGUAGCCAGACAUACAGUUGGAUAUUGGGGUCAUUUGUGUCAUGCUGCUGCUGUUUUCAGGGAAAAGGCUGAACUGAGAUGGCCCUGGUCUUGUUUCUGCAAUGUUUUUGAACUUGUUCCAUGGAUCGUAAGAUGGCUUUGUUGCAACACUAGCGGUACGUCCGCAGUGCGCAGGACCAGGUUGUAGAUGAUUAGCAGUACUCUGAACUUGAUUUGCCACAGCUGGUUGCUGAUGCCCCAGUCUGACCUCAUUGUACCUGCUCACCGGUUGCAUAGACACCUUGUUUGGCACGGCUAGUUGAUGUUGACGACUCUGAUUACUUUUGCUGAAACCGGGCCCUUGCUCAGCUGCUGGAACAGAAGAAAAACGUGAUGCAUAUUCAGAUGGUGGUCUUCCUCCAUUCAAAAUCCUAAAUGUUGCAGCAGGAUCAACCAAACCUUCAUGAAACAAUUGCGGAGAAACUUGUGUGUACAUCCCCAGAAAGCAACGAUCUUCAGCUCUGAUUUGGUUACUGGAACAUGGACCACAGUUUUCUAAACCCCCAAUGCCGGUUCCAAGACUAACUGUUUUGCCCAUUAGGCGCAUCGUCGUUUCAGCAGCAGGUUGGAUAUUCUGCUUAUAAUUCUGUCUUGGGAAACAGCUUUGCAUCUCAAGUGACUUCAGCAGUUGAUCAUCAUGUCCCAGGAAUCGAGCGCCCAAACAUUGCUCUGAACUCCCUUGCUGGUUCCUGCAUGAAUAUAUGCUGCUGGGAAUUGCAUGGUUAUGAGCUUCCACUCUUUCAGAGCUGGGAUGCUGUCUGAACCCCAUACUGAGUGCAGUUGGCAUUGUGGGGAUAAGACGAGGGUCUGGCUGAAUACCAAAAUUAGCAACUGUAAAAAAUGGUGGGGCUUCAUGGUUGAUUCUCAAAUGGGCAUAAUCCAAGGAAGUAUUAGGUGUGAAGAAAGUUGGAGGUGUUGAAGGAUGCAAAGAAUCCUUCCCCAAGCAUUGUGUUUUAAGCAGCUCAUCGGGAUUAAGGGUACCACCAGUUUGAACCCUGACAAAUUCACCAUGCGAAUUAAUAGGAAGACCCAUAUAGCCGUCACUGUACAUGUUCCUGCAUGCAGAUACACAGACUGUAGGUUGUGCAUUUGUUGAUUUGUUUGACCCUGUUGAGGUGUUUAUAUUGCUCACCACGUCAUUACCAGAUCUAAGAACACUAGGAUGAACUUCUGUCAAGUGGCGAUUAGCAAUCAACCUUUCCUGAAGAAUUGUGCUUCUAUUCCUAUCCAAUGCUUCUUUGAGAGAAGCAGCAUAGCCAGAACUAUAAGGAUGUGGCAAUGGAGUUCUCAUAAGAUAUUCUGGUCUUUUGUUGACUGCUAAACCAGCAGGAACAGAUGGUCCUCUUGGCAUCAUCUGACAGUUUUCUUCAGCUUGACGCCCAAUACCAAGACAUGGGCCUUCUUGCAAACGGAAAUUAACGCCAGCAGACUUUUGAGCAAGCCCUGGACUAGGCAGGGCAGCUGAGCUCAUGGAGCUCAAACGGUUGCCGUUGUCCCUCUUAGAGAUCUCUAUGCAAUGACUCAGAUACACAGGUUUGGUAAGUGGAACAGUAUGGGAGGCACCAGUUGAACCUACCUUCUCAGAUAAAGAGCUGCUAUCCUGCUCAAUAGUCCCCGAUAAAGCAUCUAUCUGCUGAUGCACCAACUCUGGCUCUUCUGUAUUGAGCUGAUCAUUGACUACCUGAGAAUUGUCUCUCUGGGACGGUUGCUGGGAUGCCUGAACCACCUGUGAUUGCUCCGUGUUAUCUUCAGUUUGGGAGGCAGUCAACCCACAUAUGUCAGCUGUGUCCGAAAAAGUAACAUGUUUUGAUUUGAGAGAAGACUUUGACGGACACGUGACAUCAGAGUUUUUCAGAAAUGUGCCCUCUCCUGUUCCUAAGUGUUUCUUAAGAAUGGUUUGAACUUCACAACCAUUCUCCAUAGCCUUCUGAUUAGACAAAACUGACUUCUUGCUUCCAUUUAUAUUUUUCUUGUUCGGUAAAACUGAGACCUCUUGAUUUUUCCUUUUCUUGCUAGGAGACUUUUUCAGCUUCCUCUUUUGUAUGGCAUCUUGAAAUAAUUGGGAAAUGCUAAGUGAGUUAGCGUUCGCAUUUUCACCUUUCUCCUGAAAAGGAAAAGAUGACAGAUCACCAUUCUAAGUGAGAUAGCCUUCACAUUUAGAAAAGCAGUAUAGCACAUACAGAGUCCAAUUGCAACAUAAUUAAGAUGUCACCAUGCAACUCAACUCAAAGUAUAUAUAUAUAUAUAUAUAUAUAUAUAUAUAUAUAUAUAUAUAUAUAUUGAUUGUACACUAAUCAUGUUUUACACUAUGACGUUUUGCGACAAAGUUGAGUAGGUGGGUGUACCUACCAAUGCGCAUGAUACAAGUAUGAAGCUUUGGCCAUUUACUGGUUUAUCAGGAAGUAAGGGAGCAAGAACAGAAGAGUGCACGAGCAAGCACGGACCGACAUACUGCUUAUGGUAAGAGCACGUUAAACACAAUCCACACCUAUUCUUUACUUGCAAGUCAUCAAUACAAGCUUGCUUUUUUCUACAGGAAAACACUCAAAGGCAUGUCAGAUCUGAUUUAUCUUAAGGGAACAAUUACAAGGACAAGAGCAGCCAACGCUGCACAAAUAAAAUAAACCACCACAAGCACCUAAUGAGCUCCAAUUGCCUCAUGGCAUUUGAAGAUUGCAACUGAAGCCCAAAACCCUAGCGACGGGACUAAGACAACGUCGAUGGAACAUCAGCAGGGCCACGCCCCAAGCUUGUGGGCGCUCCGACCCGGUGCCACCACUUGCGCAUGGUCUGCAUGACGAAAGCGAACCAACCAUCCUGCACCAAGCAAAACGAAGGUCCAUCAUCAUCCUCAACCAGAUCUGGCAUAGCCACCAGUGCUGCUAAGUGCUAACACUUCUAGCACACCUCCACUGAC